AUGUUCGUAUUAGCGGGAGUCCCUGGGGGAGUGACAAAGGAGCCAGACACCAAGAUCCUGUGGGCCAGAAGUGAACAUGGCUGACUGAGGGUUUCUUUUCCUCCAAGGCUAUACUGGGGUGACAGGAGUCUGGAUAAGGAUGACAUUCGACUGCUGCCUUCAGCAUUGGGCGUGAAGAAGAGAAAGCGAGGACCUAAGAAACAGAAGGAGAACAAGCCAGGAAAGCCCCGGAAACGCAAGAAGCUUGACAGCGAGGAGGAAUUUGGCUCUGAGCGAGAUGAGUACCGGGAGAAGUCAGAGAGUGGAGGUAGUGAAUAUGGAACCGGACCAGGUCGGAAACGGAGACGGAAGCACCGAGAAAAAAAGGAGAAGAAGACAAAGCGGCGGAAAAAAGGGGAGGGAGAGGGAGGGCAAAAGCAAGUGGAACAGAAGUCAUCAGCAACCCUGCUUCUGACCUGGGGCCUGGAGGACGUGGAACAUGUGUUCUCCGAGGAAGAUUACCACACACUCACCAACUACAAAGCCUUCAGCCAAUUCAUGAGGCCCCUCAUUGCUAAGAAGAAUCCUAAGAUCCCAAUGUCUAAGAUGAUGACCAUUCUCGGGGCCAAGUGGAGAGAGUUCAGCGCCAACAACCCCUUCAAGGGGUCGGCGGCUGCUGUGGCAGCGGCAGCGGCAGCAGCGGCGGCAGCUGUAGCUGAGCAGGUGUCAGCCGCUGUCUCCUCGGCCACCCCCAUAGCACCCUCCGGACCCCCCACCCUUCCACCACCCCCUGCUGCUGAUAUCCAGCCCCCACCCAUCCGAAGAGCCAAAACCAAAGAGGGCAAAGGUCCAGGCCACAAGCGGCGGAGUAAGAGCCCCCGAGUGCCCGACGGACGCAAGAAGCUUCGGGGAAAGAAGAUGGCACCACUCAAAAUCAAGCUAGGGCUUCUGGGUGGCAAGAGAAAGAAGGGCGGCUCGUAUGUUUUGCAGAGUGACGAGGGCCCCGAACCGGAGGCCGAGGAAUCAGACCUGGACAGCGGCAGUGUCCACAGUGCCUCAGGCCGCCCCGAUGGCCCCAUCCGCACCAAGAAAUUAAAACGAGGCCGGCCCGGAAGGAAGAAGAAGAAGGUUCUAGGCUGUCCCGCUGUGGCUGGGGAGGAGGAGAUUGACGGCUACGAGACAGAUCACCAGGAUUACUGUGAGGUGUGCCAGCAGGGUGGGGAGAUCAUUCUGUGUGACACCUGCCCUCGUGCCUACCACCUCGUCUGCCUUGAUCCUGAGCUUGACCGGGCUCCUGAGGGCAAGUGGAGCUGCCCUCACUGUGAAAAGGAGGGGGUCCAGUGGGAAGCCAAGGAGGAGGAGGAAGACUAUGAAGAGGAGGGGGAGGAGGAAGGGGAGAAGGAGGAAGAAGAUGACCACAUGGAGUAUUGCCGCGUGUGCAAGGACGGCGGGGAGCUGCUGUGCUGCGACGCCUGCAUCUCCUCCUACCACAUCCACUGUCUGAACCCCCCGCUGCCCGACAUCCCCAACGGCGAAUGGCUGUGUCCCCGAUGCACCUGUCCUGUGCUGAAAGGCCGUGUGCAGAAGAUCCUGCACUGGCGGUGGGGAGAGCCACCCGUGGCCAUGCCAGCCCCCCAGCAGGCAGACGGGAAUCCGGAUGCCCCACCGCCACGACCUCUUCAAGGCAGAUCCGAGCGAGAGUUCUUUGUCAAGUGGGUGGGCCUGUCCUACUGGCACUGCUCCUGGGCCAAGGAGCUGCAGCUGGAAAUCUUCCACUUGGUGAUGUACCGAAACUACCAACGGAAGAAUGACAUGGAUGAGCCCCCACCCCUGGACUAUGGCUCUGGUGAGGACGAUGGCAAGAGUGACAAGCGCAAGGUGAAGGACCCACACUACGCCGAGAUGGAGGAGAAGUACUAUCGUUUUGGCAUCAAGCCAGAGUGGAUGACCGUCCACCGGAUCAUCAACCACAGUGUGGAUAAAAAGGGGAAUUACCACUAUCUAGUGAAAUGGAGGGACUUGCCCUAUGACCAGUCCACAUGGGAGGAAGAUGAAAUGAACAUCCCUGAAUAUGAAGACCACAAGCAGAGCUACUGGAGACACCGAGAACUAAUUAUGGGGGAGGACCCUGCUCAGCCCCGCAAGUAUAAGAAGAAGAAGAAGGAGUUGCAGGGUGAUGGGCCUCCCAGUUCUCCUACUAACGAUCCUACAGUGAAAUAUGAGACUCAGCCACGCUUCAUCACAGCCACAGGAGGCACACUACACAUGUAUCAGCUGGAAGGAUUGAACUGGCUACGCUUCUCAUGGGCCCAGGGCACUGAUACCAUUUUGGCUGAUGAAAUGGGGCUGGGCAAGACCAUACAAACCAUCGUCUUCCUCUACUCACUCUAUAAGGAGGGCCACACAAAGGGUCCCUUCCUGGUGAGUGCCCCGCUGUCCACCAUCAUCAACUGGGAGCGGGAGUUCCAGAUGUGGGCACCCAAGUUCUAUGUAGUGACAUACACGGGUGACAAGGACAGUCGAGCCAUCAUUCGUGAGAAUGAGUUUUCCUUUGAAGACAACGCCAUCAAAGGUGGCAAGAAAGCUUUUAAGAUGAAGAGGGAGGCACAGGUGAAGUUCCAUGUUCUCCUGACAUCAUAUGAGCUGAUCACCAUUGAUCAGGCAGCUCUCGGCUCCAUCCGCUGGGCCUGUCUCGUGGUGGAUGAGGCCCAUCGGCUCAAGAACAACCAGUCCAAGUUUUUCAGGGUCCUCAAUGGCUACAAGAUAGAUCAUAAGUUGCUGCUGACAGGGACUCCAUUGCAGAAUAAUCUGGAGGAGCUCUUCCAUCUGCUGAACUUCCUCACCCCAGAGAGGUUUAACAACCUGGAGGGCUUCCUGGAGGAGUUUGCUGACAUAUCCAAAGAAGACCAGAUUAAGAAACUUCAUGACUUGCUGGGGCCACACAUGCUGCGGAGGCUCAAGGCAGAUGUCUUUAAGAACAUGCCAGCCAAAACAGAGCUCAUCGUUCGCGUGGAGCUGAGCCCCAUGCAGAAGAAAUACUACAAGUAUAUCCUGACCCGAAAUUUUGAGGCCUUGAAUUCACGAGGUGGUGGGAACCAGGUGUCGCUGCUGAACAUCAUGAUGGAUCUUAAGAAGUGCUGCAACCAUCCGUACCUCUUUCCUGUGGCUGCUAUGGAGUCCCCCAAACUUCCCAGUGGGGCUUAUGAGGGUGGGGCACUUAUUAAGGCGUCUGGGAAGCUCAUGCUGCUGCAGAAGAUGCUGCGAAAGCUGAAAGAGCAAGGACACAGAGUGCUCAUCUUCUCGCAGAUGACCAAAAUGUUAGACUUACUGGAGGACUUCUUAGACUACGAGGGCUACAAGUAUGAGCGCAUUGAUGGCGGCAUCACUGGUGCCCUGAGGCAGGAGGCCAUUGACCGCUUCAAUGCUCAUGGGGCCCAACAAUUCUGUUUCCUCCUCUCCACCCGGGCCGGAGGCCUGGGCAUCAAUCUGGCCACUGCUGACACUGUCAUCAUCUUCGAUUCAGACUGGAACCCCCAUAAUGAUAUCCAGGCCUUCAGCCGUGCUCAUCGGAUCGGCCAGGCCAACAAAGUGAUGAUUUACCGGUUUGUGACUCGCGCCUCGGUGGAAGAGCGAAUCACACAGGUGGCCAAGAGAAAGAUGAUGCUGACACAUCUGGUGGUGCGGCCCGGGCUGGGCUCCAAGGCGGGCUCCAUGUCCAAGCAGGAGCUGGACGACAUCCUCAAAUUUGGUACCGAGGAGCUAUUUAAGGAUGAAAAUGAGGGUGAGAACAAGGAGGAGGACAGCAGUGUGAUUCACUACGACAACGAGGCCAUUGCUCGGCUUUUGGACCGGAAUCAGGAUGCAACUGAGGACACUGACGUGCAGAACAUGAACGAGUAUCUCAGCUCCUUCAAGGUGGCCCAGUAUGUGGUUCGGGAAGAAGACAAGAUUGAGGAAAUUGAACGAGAGAUCAUCAAGCAGGAAGAGAACGUUGACCCCGACUACUGGGAGAAGCUGCUGCGGCACCACUAUGAGCAACAGCAGGAAGACCUGGCGCGGAACCUCGGCAAGGGCAAGCGGGUCCGCAAGCAGGUCAACUACAAUGACGCUGCUCAGGAGGACCAAGAUAACCAGUCAGAAUACUCAGUGGGAUCAGAGGAGGAGGAUGAAGACUUUGAUGAGCGUCCUGAAGGGCGUCGACAGUCAAAGAGGCAGCUUCGGAACGAAAAGGAUAAGCCACUGCCUCCACUGCUGGCUCGAGUUGGGGGCAACAUUGAGGUGCUGGGAUUCAACACCCGUCAGCGGAAGGCCUUCCUCAACGCAGUGAUGCGCUGGGGCAUGCCCCCGCAGGACGCCUUCACCACCCAGUGGCUGGUGCGGGACCUCAGGGGCAAGACUGAGAAAGAGUUCAAGGCCUAUGUGUCUUUGUUUAUGCGCCAUCUCUGUGAGCCCGGGGCAGACGGCUCUGAAACCUUUGCGGACGGAGUCCCUCGGGAGGGGCUGAGUCGCCAGCAAGUGUUGACCCGCAUUGGAGUCAUGUCUCUCGUCAAGAAAAAGGUACAGGAGUUCGAGCACAUCAAUGGGCGCUGGUCUAUGCCGGAGCUGAUGCCUGACCCCAGUGCUGACUCCAAGCGCUCCUCCAGAGCCUCCUCUCCUACCAAAACGUCUCCCACCACUCCUGAGGCCUCAGCUGCAAACAGCCCUUGCACCUCAAAACCUGCUACUCCAGCUCCCAGCGAGAAAGGAGAUGGCAUAAGGACACCUCUGGAGAAGGAUGAAGCAGAAAACCAGGAGGAGAAGCCAGAAAAGAAUAGCAGGAUUGGGGAGAAGAUGGAGACAGAGGCUGAUACUCCUAGCCCAGCCCCAUCCCUGGGAGAGCGGCUGGAGCCAAGGAAGAUGCCUCUAGAGGAUGAGGUGCCAGGGGUACCUGGAGAGAUGGAGCCUGAACUUGGGUACCGGGGGGACAGAGAGAAGUCAGCCACGGAGUCGACGCCAGGAGAGAGGGGGGAGGAGAAGCCGAUGGAUGGACAGGAACACAGGGAGAGGCCGGAGGGGGAGACAGGGGAUUUGGGCAAGAGAGAAGACGUGAAAGGGGACCGGGAGCUUCGGUCUGGGCCUCCUCGAGAUGAGCCACGGUCCAAUGGGCGACGUGAGGAAAAGGCAGAGAAACCGCGGUUCAUGUUCAACAUUGCAGAUGGUGGCUUCACAGAGCUUCACACGCUGUGGCAGAAUGAGGAGCGGGCGGCUAUUUCCUCGGGGAAACUCAACGAGAUCUGGCACCGAAGACACGACUAUUGGCUCCUGGCUGGUAUUGUCCUCCAUGGCUACGCACGGUGGCAGGACAUCCAGAAUGAUGCUCAGUUUGCCAUUAUCAAUGAGCCAUUUAAAACUGAAGCCAAUAAGGGGAACUUUCUGGAGAUGAAAAAUAAAUUCUUGGCCCGGAGAUUCAAGCUCCUGGAGCAGGCGCUGGUGAUUGAGGAGCAGCUGCGGCGGGCGGCCUACCUGAACCUAUCACAGGAGCCGGCGCACCCCGCCAUGGCCCUCCACGCCCGCUUCGCCGAGGCCGAGUGCCUGGCCGAGAGCCACCAGCACCUCUCCAAGGAGUCGCUGGCGGGGAACAAGCCGGCCAACGCCGUCCUGCACAAGGUUCUGAACCAGCUGGAGGAGUUGCUGAGCGACAUGAAGGCGGACGUGACCCGCCUGCCAGCCACGCUGUCCCGAAUACCCCCCAUCGCAGCCCGCCUUCAGAUGUCCGAGCGCAGCAUCCUCAGCCGGCUGGCCAGCAAGGGCACAGAGACUCACCCCACACCGGCCUUCCCCCCGGGUCCAUACGCUACACCUCCGGGGUACGGGGCGGCCUUCAGCGCCGCACCCGUCGGGGCCCUGGCCGCCGCAGGCGCCAAUUACAGCCAGAUGCCAGCAGGGUCCUUCAUCACAGCCGCCACCAACGGCCCUCCAGUGCUGGUGAAGAAGGAGAAGGAAAUGGUGGGGGCACUGGUGGCAGACGGGCUGGAUCGGAAGGAGCCCCGAACCGGGGAGGUGAUCUGUAUAGACGACUGACCGGAUCCCAGGCCUGCCCUUCACCCAGGUCCCGGCCCCGAGGUCGACCCCCAGCUCAGGCUCUGGGGCCUGCUGCCAGUCCUCCACCUUCCCCACCCCUUGGGCCACCACUGGGCUAGGAGCCCCUCUGCCCCUCUCUAUAGUUCUCUUCAAGAAGGGCCCUUGUUUUUCUCCACCCCAUGCACCUUUCCCACCGCGCUUUGAAGACUGUGCUGGUGAGAAGGGGUCUGGGUGGAAGGUGGUGAGCAGGGUCUUCCGAGUACCUUUAUCCCCCACUGCCAAACACACGCAGCUUCCCAAUAAAACGGUUCUGGGGAGGAGAGAGGUGGAGCCUCCCCAGGUUUUAAUCCUGCAACAUCAACUCCAUCUCUUGCAGAAGUGGGGGGUUAGCUUCGCCUGGCUUGUAGGAACUUUGGUGGGGAAGAGCUUUGAAGAGAGGCAGGUGACUUUAGAGAGGGGUGACAAUGAGCCCUAGGAAGGUGGAAGAGAAGAGGAGGGGCAGCUCCAUGUUUCCUUCCCCUCCCUCCCUGCAGAUGGAGGGUGGAGCAGUUAUCAGGGAGGGAGUCCAUUGCUGUUCAGCCUCAGAAUAAAGGAGCCAUUCACUGGCUCAGUUACCUCCUGCGUACCGGCAUCUUGUGUUGGCAAUCUUCCCCCCUCCCUAGGGACCAAUGACCACCCCUGCAAAGAGUAACAUUUGGGUGAUACUCCCUUAAGCCAAAGAGGAGCUCCCCAAUCUGUUCUAGGGACCCAAGUAACCUAGAAAGGGUGGCAGAGAACACAAUGGGCCAGACAUGGGGGGAGCCCCCAGUUUGGGGGCUCAGGUUCUUGGAGGAUUUCUACCUUCCCUCCUGAAGACCUGGAUGUGGACUAGAGUGGGUCAGGCAGGGGGCCUAGUCAGGGGACUACCUUGCCUUCAAGACCAGAGCAGAAUAGCAGAGGGCAGGCUGGGGAGAUAUGGGCACACCCUCCUCCCCAGGAGGGGCUGGGGAGAGUGGCAGUUUGCAUGGCGAACCCCCCACUUCCUCUUUGCUCCCCUUCACUUUCUGGCUGCCCCUCUCCCAGUCUCUUCACACCCACUCCGGGCCUGUCCCAGUUCCCUCUUCUGUAUCAGGUUUAUUGGUUGUACAUAUAAAUUAUACUUUCCUUUCUGUGUGCUCUGUUAUUUUUGAGUGGGGGAGUUCUUUGGUUGCAGGGAGGGGGAGGGAUAGGAAAAGGAAGGGUGUUGAUUUCUGCCAUUUUCUAUUCAUUUCUCUCUUUAAAAAAUCUUGUUGACUUUC
rnacentral:misc_RNA from 1 species